UACGUAGGGUGCGAGCGUUAAUCGGAAUUACUGGGCGUAAAGCGUGCGCAGGCGGUUUUGCAAGCCGGAUGUGAAAUCCCCGGGCUUAACCUGGGAAUGGCAUUUGGGACUGCAAGGCUGGAGUGCGGCAGAGGAGACUGGGAUUCCUGGUGUAGCAGUGAAAUGCGUAGAGAUGUGGAGGAACACCGAUGGCGAAGGCAGCCCCCUGGGCCGACACUGACGCUCAGGCACGAAAGCGUGGGGAGCAAACAGG
rnacentral:rRNA from 1 species